rnacentral:rRNA from 1 species
CCUACGGGGGGCAGCAGUAGGGAAUCUUCCACAAUGGGCGAAAGCCUGAUGGAGCAACGCCGCGUGGGUGAAGAAGGUCUUCGGAUCGUAAAACCCUGUUGUUAGAGAAGAAAGUGCGUGAGAGUAACUGUUAACGUUUCGACGGUAUCUAACCAGAAAGCCACGGCUAACUACGUGCCAGCAGCCGCGGUAAUACGUAGGUGGCAAGCGUUAUCCGGAUUUAUUGGGCGUAAAGGGAACGCAGGCGGUCUUUUACGUCUGAUGUGAAAGCCUUCGGCUUAACCGGAGUAGUGCAUUGGAAACUGGGAGACUUGAGUGCAGAAGAGGGGAGUGGAACUCCAUGUGUAGCGGUGAAAUGCGUAGAUAUAUGGAAGAACACCAGUGGCGAAAGCGGCUCUCUGGUCUGUAACUGACGCUGAGGUUCGAAAGCGUGGGUAGCAAACAGGAGUAGAUACCCGAGUAGUC